rnacentral:rRNA from 1 species
AUUGAACGCUGGCGGCAGGCCUAACACAUGCAAGUCAAGCGGAUGAAGGGAGCUUGCUCCUGGAUUCAGCGGCGGACGGGUGAGUAAUGCCUAGGAAUCUGCCUGGUAGUGGGGGAUAACGUCCGGAAACGGGCGCUAAUACCGCAUACGUCCUGAGGGAGAAAGUGGGGGAUCUUCGGACCUCACGCUAUCAGAUGAGCCUAGGUCGGAUUAGCUAGUUGGUGGGGUAAAGGCCUACCAAGGCGACGAUCCGUAACUGGUCUGAGAGGAUGAUCAGUCACACUGGAACUGAGACACGGUCCAGACUCCUACGGGAGGCAGCAGUGGGGAAUAUUGGACAAUGGGCGAAAGCCUGAUCCAGCCAUGCCGCGUGUGUGAAGAAGGUCUUCGGAUUGUAAAGCACUUUAAGUUGGGAGGAAGGGCAGUAAGUUAAUACCUUGCUGUUUUGACGUUACCAACAGAAUAAGCACCGGCUAACUUCGUG